rnacentral:lncRNA from 1 species
AUCCACAGCGCACGCCUGCGUAAAAAAAGCGAUUCCAACAAUACCAAAUUGUUGGGCAACAUCAAGAACCCAUGGAAGGAAAGCGUCAUAGAGUAUGCAAUCAAUAGGAUGAGGUGAGUUCUUAUGCUUUAUGAUAAGUUCGGUCAAGGUUUUUGACCCAACAGCUUGUAAUCGUACAAGGUAAUCGUCAAUAUCCCCGAGUGCAAAGAAUCCCUCUUUAUCACAACCGUCUGAUAUCGUGUCGAAAUCGAUUUCGGAGUUGAGCAAUUCGGGUUUCAUGGUUUCAGAGAUGAAGACAGUGGUGGCAAAGGUUGCUUUGAGUCCUUUGGAGGAUAAGCGUUUGGAGAAUUGAAGCAUUGGGUUAAUAUGGCCUUGCGUCGAAUAAGGAAUGACCAAUACAUGACCCCUUUUGUUAACUUUUUUCUCCAUUUGCUUUUGUUCUCCAAUAUAAUUUAUGAU